UGGCAAGAGACUACCUAAGUAGAAAAUAC
rnacentral:piRNA from 1 species